UGGGGAAUAUUGCACAAUGGAGGGAACUCUGAUGCAGCGACGCCGCGUGAACGAAGAAGGCUUUCGAGUCGUAAAGUUCUUUUAUAUGGGAAGAUAAUGACGGUACCAUAAGAAAAAGCCCCGGCUAACUACGUGCCAGCAGCCGCGGUAAUACGUAGGGGGCUAGCGUUGUCCGGAAUCACUGGGCGUAAAGGGUUCGCAGGCGGAAAUGCAAGUCAGGUGUAAAAGGCAGUAGCUUAACUACUGUAAGCAUUUGAAACUGCAUAUCUUGAGAAGAGUAGAGGUAAGUGGAAUUUUUAGUGUAGCGGUGAAAUGCGUAGAUAUUAAAAGAAUACCGGUGGCGAAGGCGGCUUACUGGGCUCAUUCUGACGCUGAGGAACGAAAGCGUGGGUAGCAAACAGG
rnacentral:rRNA from 1 species